GCACGUCAUAACGGAUUACAGCCGAAGCGGUGUUACCUCCAUAGUAGCUGGUUUCUAGAAGUUUCUUUAGGCGCGAAAUCUGUUUUCUAGAAAUUUCUCAGGGCUCUUCUACGAGGUAUUCAUAAUUCAUAUUUAAUAUUUUUUUUUUAUACACGAAACUAGACGAUUUUCUUGGUCAGUCCUGAAUCCACAAUAUAUCAAAAUAAAUUCAGCAUGCUUUCAUGAAGAUAAAGAAACUAAGAAAGCAAACGGUUUGUCGACUUUUUUACUGAUACGACUUAUGAUGUUUGUUCGUCACCAAAACGAUUCAUGAAGAGAUUUGUAUUAAAAAUGUGUUAUUAGAGGUACCUGCUCGAAACCCUAACCAUUACAAAAGUCGGAUUAUAAUAGAAGCAAACAUUUGGAUCCUAAAAUCAAACCAGAGAGUAUGAUUAACAUCGAAGCUGAUUGCGUUAAGACAGUCAACAUGUACAUGCAAGUUAAAUCCGAUUCGAACGAUUUUAUCAAGAAAUUUCCAGAAUGGGAUACGUUACCGAAGUCGCUUGACAACGAACUAAUAAUAACUAUUCGCGAUCGAGAUUCCGCAAAAACCCGAUUAGAAAUAAAGCGCAAUGAAAAAAAAGCGUUUGAUCGAGAAAUGAAAGAAAAGUGGAAUGAUCUAGGUCAGAAACUCAAUGAACUGCGAGAAGAAGAGUUGAGACACGAACAGUUUUCAUCGGAAAACGAAUCGAAAUGCGAAAUGCUCAUAAGGAAAACAAACGAAGACGAUGAAGAAACGAAACGUUACGAGCAGCAAACCAUUCCGAUGCAGCAGUCAAUUUUAAAGCUUGAAGAGGCCGCUGAAGGUAUGCAACGCAGCGUGGAUGAGUUGAAACCAUUCGAAGAUUUCCUUGAAAAUGUAGUGGAGGAGUCGAAAGAGUUUAAAAACAUAGAUGACGUUAUAAAGAGAUACGAAAACUUGACCAACAUACGGAAGGAACUGGCGCAAAAACACGAAAAAAAGACAGCGGACUUAAAACGGUUAACGACGGACAUGUUCAGACGUUCAAAGGAAAAGAGCGAAGAAGCGGAACAUGUUUCUGUCGAAAUGGCUGAUGUCAUUGAAUCAUUGGGGAAACUGAAAGAUGAGAUGAUUAAGACUGACCUGGCUUAUCGAAAGAUCGAGAACGUAGCCAAAGAAAAAAAAAUCGAAAGUGACUUAGUAGCCGCAUCUGUGUGGAAUAUAUAUAAGCAAAUAUGUCGGCGUGUAAAAAAAUCUGUGCCCAACAAAAUACCGGAUAUAGAAACUCAAUUGGCGUUCAUUGCAGAAGAAUACCGACAGUUGACCAAAGUAUUGAACAUGGCUGAAAAAAUCAAAGAAAAAAGCAACAAAAGGGAAAUUCUAAGAAACUAAAAAUUGUGCUUUAGUAUAUGCUAGCAUAGUAGCAUUGCUAACGGUAUAGCCAAAUAGGCUUUUGACAACGUCUGACACUUUUGUUUCUAUCAAAUCAACGUAGAAAGUCAUGUUAUAUACGUUCGCCCGAAUGUCGUCUCCUGAAAUAUAUUUGGUACACAAGUAGAAUAAUAUUAUUGUUUUUUAAGAAUAUCGUCAAUCAGAUGUAUUCAUAAUAUUGGUAAGAAUCAAAUUGACAUUCCUGAAAAAAUCUUUCUUUAUAUUAUAUAAUUAUUUAUAACGAUACAUUAUAAUAAUGUCUGCGGCUUGCGAGACACUUCUACAACGUGUGCAACUGUGUAAGAUAAAUGAUAAAUCACAGAUAAGACAACGGUCUAGUGACUUUGCUGAUCAACUAUAGGUACUCGUAUAUGUUUAUAGAAUAUAGACUAUAUUUAUCUAUCAUUAAUAAUUUAGAUAAUUAGAUUUAAUAUUCAGUAAAAAAAAUAUAUCGAAAUAUGUGUUAUUUCAAAUAAUUACCUAUUUUACAUACAUAUUUUAUUAUAAUAUAAUAUUAUAACUAUAAUAAAUAUAUUAUAUAGUAUAGUAUAUAGGCAUGACUAGAAUCCGGAUUUAUACAUUUAAAUACUACAUAUUUUUCUACAGUUCACCUACAGAAUUAUAAUGAUUAUAAAUAUCAACGUUUCGUAAAGUGUAGAUUCUAUGAUUAAUUUGUUUUAGCAUAUUUUUGCAUAUUUGAAUGAAAAUGCAUAUUAAUUAGGUACAUAUUAUUUCUGCGUAUUUGUAUUGAUGUUCGAAUAAUUAUCUUCAAAUACAUUAUAAAAAUAUCGCAAAACCUAUUGUAAUAAAUAUUAUUUGAUGGAAAUAUGAAAUAGUUAUAACUUAUAAUCAUAGGCGUAGAAUGGUGGAGGCUGUAGCCUCCCCUCCAAAAUUAUAUUAACCCACCCCAGAAUUCUGUGUCUGGACUCUUGUCAGAUUUUCCACAAUGAAAAAAAAGGCUAUAGCCCCUCCAUAUAAAUUCAUCACGCUACUAGCCUAUGGUUAUAAUAUAUAUUUUAAUAUUACGUGGGAAUUUAGUAAACUUACCUUACAUUAAACUAUAUGUGUUAAAGUGAUGUAAAUUAUAGUCAAUACCCUUAUAUAACGAGUAAUGACCUUAACAACUGAAUACAUUAUAAUCACAGAAUGCGUGUUUUUGAAAUAUUAUCAAUUAUCAUAAAUGUUUUUUAUUAUAAGAAUUAAUAAUUACUAAUUAGUAUAAGCAUAUAGUAGUUACUCAGUUAUUCAAAUGCUAAAAUAUUAGCUGUAUAUACAGUAUAGGUACCUAUAUAAAAUGUUUAAUAGCUGAGGGCAAAAAAUCACUUAUAGAUUCAUUUAUACGCGAAUAAUAUUAUAAACUAUAAAAAAACCGUUGCAUUUACAUUUAAAAUUCGACGGUAAUCUAUGACAAUUAAAUUGUUUUCCAAAAUAAAAUAUAUAGUUUUUGAAUUUAUUUUGUGAACGUUUCCUGUACCGUACCAUAAUAUCCAAUGCCCUAUAUAUAUUAUAUUAAACAUGUCUAAAAAUGUGAUAAUAUGAUAACAAAUUGACUAUCGAAACAGUCCGAAAUAAUAAUAUUCAAUAAGCCGGUCUUAUAAAAUAACUGCUACUGAUCGUAUGCAAAAUAAUGUAAUGAGAGCACGUUCAGUAGGUCAUUAAAAUAUGACUAUAGUAUAGGUAUAAUAUAAAAUAUUACCUAUGUACCUAUAUUUAUACUAUAGUAUUAUAUGGAUAUAAUAACUAAUUAUUAAAACAUAAACUUAUUACGUGUAUCCUGUUUCUUUAUCAUAUAACAUAUUUUUGUGUGUUGUAAACACUUUAGUAGGUACUCAUUAAUUUGAUACGGUUAUAAAAUAAUACGCAUGUGCAACAGCUUGGACGAGUUGUAAUUAUUAAAAAAUUAUAUUUUGAAGAAAAAACUAUUAGCAUCGUGUCUGGAUCUGGAAACUUGUAAAAACUAUAACAUUACAAUUUAUAAAUAAUCGGUACUCGGAAGUAAUAUUUCUUUCAAAAUUCAAUUGGUUUAAAUCGUAGUAAUUUUUAUAGAUUUUAUAAGUAGUUGUUGUUUGUUUACGCAUACAACAGCACAAUAAGAUAUAUCAUGCUUUUAUAAUAUAAAAUAUUAUUAUUGUAUAAAAAACGCGCUUUAUCGAACAAAUAUUGCAUCAGCUCAAAGUUCAAAUUUGUUAUCUUCUCGAAUUCUUAUAGGUACGUUAUAAUAAUAGUUUAUGUACCCAUCUUCGGUGGUUUCCAUAAAAGCAUAUAACCACAGAAUAGAAUAUAAUGUACUCUAUAAACACAGGCGAAUAGACAUUACUCCAAACGUAUCUCUGUUUUAGAUAAUUAUGUACAGCAUUGUAUCUAUAAUCUAUAUAAAUAUGAUCUAACAUUCUAACGUAUACGUAUUAUACCAGUUUUUAUGUCCGUGAUAAGAAUACCAGUAUGGUAACCAUGGACAGUGGAAUUAUUGUGUACCUACUACCUACCCGUGAAUAUUUUAUACCAGUUAUUAUACAUAUAAUUUAGUAACAGUACAUUAGAACGGAUCUAUUAAAAUUAGUUUAUAAUUUAUAUACAUAUUAAGGUAAUAUUUAAUGGUAUAAUAUAAACGCAUAAAAUUGUCGGCGUGAUUGACCUUCGUUAUGUUUUAUGAGUCUUUAACCCAAUCGCGUCUAGCAGCUGAUGAACUUUAUAUCACUUAUCGACAAUAAUAAUAGUUAUGUGUUGUUCCCUACCU